GACGAACGCUGGCGGCGUACUUAACACAUGCAAGUCGAACGGAACUCAUUGGAUCAAGACUUCGGUCAAGUGAAUUUGAGUUUAGUGGCGGACGGGUGAGUAACGCGUGAGGAACCUGCCUUUCAGAGGGGGACAACAGUUGGAAACGACUGCUAAUACCGCAUAACGUAUUUUUAGGGCAUCCUUAAAAUACCAAAGAUUUAUUGCUGAAAGAUGGUCUCGCGUCUGAUUAGCUAGUUGGUGAGGUAACGGCUCACCAAGGCGACGAUCAGUAGCCGGUCUGAGAGGAUGAACGGCCACAUUGGGACUGAGAUACGGCCCAGACUCCUACGGGAGGCAGCAGUGGGGAAUAUUGGGCAAUGGGGGAAACCCUGACCCAGCAACGCCGCGUGAAGGAAG
rnacentral:rRNA from 1 species